UACGUAGGGUGCGAGCGUUGUCCGGAAUUAUUGGGCGUAAAGGGCUCGUAGGCGGUUUGUCGCGUCGGGAGUGAAAACCAGGUGCUUAACACCUGGCUUGCUUUCGAUACGGGCAGACUAGAGGUAUUCAGGGGAGAACGGAAUUCCUGGUGUAGCGGUGAAAUGCGCAGAUAUCAGGAGGAACACCAAUGGCGAAGGCAGCACUCUGGGACGUGACUGACGCUGAGACGCGAAAGCGUGGGGAGCGAACAGG
rnacentral:rRNA from 1 species